CUGUGCCAUACGUACCAGAUUUCGCCCAGACAGGACUUCUAACAGAGCCAUCAGGAUCUUGCCAUCUUGUAUGUCAACAAAUAAAUCUUUAACUUCUAGAGGAGGGUUGCACUUCUCGAGGUGCAGGUUUAUCCACCGAGUGAAGGUCCUCUUCUGCACAUUUUCCCUCUCAACUGAAAACAAAGAAAUGCCAUCAGCUGGGCAGAAAGAAAUAUGUUGCAAGAUCCUGCCCUCCUCUUCGCAAGGGGGAUUCUAGGCGGAUGGCAGGCAGAGCCCCAGAGGGUCCCGUGUACGAAUGCAAGGGGGGGUGAC